GUCAGGGGCCGAGAUCACCCAUUCUCUGGCUUCAUCGAGGCCCAUCCAGUCUGCAGAAAAUGCCAGGGGAUAUUCGUGUGGUAACUCCUGCCAUAAGCCCAGAGUUUCUUCCCUGAUUUAAUGGGCUUCCCAGAAGCCACCACUGUGCACAUUGAGGACAUACAUCUAGAAUCUUCUUUCAUCGCAGCCCCUCCAAAAUCACCUGGUACCCCAUGAGGCACAGAGCAUGAGACCUUGUAACAGCAACCCCGCUGGACCCUCGGUGGAAGGAGGGGCUCUUGUGAACUCCGAGACUCACGCGGACACAAAACAAGCACCCAGCCCAGCCCCACAGCUCAGCAGUGUCUGUCCCUCAAACAGUCUAGCCAGUAGCCAAAGCCACUCGCAGGAGCUGGGGCAAGUUUUCAGCACUAACAAUA